rnacentral:rRNA from 1 species
GUGGGGAAUCUUGCGCAAUGCGCGAAAGCGUGACGCAGCAACGCCGCGUGAGGGAAGACGGCCUUCGGGUUGUAAACCUCUUUCAGUUGGGACGAAGCCACGGCGGUUAAUACCCGUCUGUGGUGACGGUACCUUCAGAAGAAGCCCCGGCUAACUACGUGCCAGCAGCCGCGGUAAUACGUAGGGGGCAAGCGUUGUCCGGAAUCAUUGGGCGUAAAGCGCGUGUAGGCGGCUUGGUAAGUCCGCUCUGAAAGCCCGGGGCUCAACCCCGGGAGGCGGGUGGAUACUGUCAAGCUCGAGUCCGGAAGAGGCGAGUGGAAUUCCUGGUGUAGCGGUGAAAUGCGCAGAUAUCAGGAGGAACACCAAUGGCGAAGGCAGCUCGCUGGGACGUGACUGACGCUGAGACGCGAAAGCGUGGGGAGCAAACAGGAUUAGAAACCCGGGUAGUCC